CAGGGUGGGACAAAGCACCAGUAUUUUUAAAAGCUCCCAAGGUGUUACAGUAUUCAACCAAGAAUAACAAGCACUGAAAGGAAAAGGAAUGAGAACACACAAAUGUGGAACCAGAAGAGACAGGCACAUUAAGAGGUCCGAGUGAAGCAGGCAAACUAGACUUGUGAAUUACUAUUGAUGAGUGUUAUUCUUUGUGUUUCUGUUUGACCUAGAAAUUGUUGCUGGUGGAAGAGGAUGAGAGAAGGAUUUGAAUGAUUGGGAUGAUUUUCUUGGACAGAAGCUUUAUCUUAAGAGAUCUACUCUAAAUUGGAAGAAGACAAUACCACCUCACAUCUCACGAGCAUUAAAUGAUUGACUUUAUGAAUACCUAGUCUUAAUAAAAUGAAAUCCUUAAGAAGCAGUAUGAUACAGUGGAAAGAGCAUUGGAAAUUAAGUGAUUUGGAAUCUCCUCCUACUCUAACAAUAAUCAUCUCUUGCACUCUGAAAGUAAUUUACUUUGUUCAUCUGUUAAAUAAAGGCAAAUAAAUUGAAAUCCUCAAGUUAUUAUCUGUCUAAAAAGUCUGUGAAUCACAAAAUCAGGUUUCUGCUUUGUCUUCAUCUGGAUUCAAUGUUUUUUUUCAAAAAUGAAAAGAAUGCUAAAAGCUGCUGUCAAAGUUUUAAAAGAUGCAAGACAAAAUGUUGCUGAAGUUAAGUCAUUAAAGAAUGCUUCAAAAGAAAAUCACUCCAAAGACACACUUUGUGUUCAAAUGAUGGUGCAAGCAAGUUACAGCAUGAAGUAACUAUUAUUAGUGAACAAAGAGGGAAAGAAGCCAAAAUAUUGACAAAGAAACCAAUAAGCAAUUCAAAAGAAAAAAAUAGCUAAGAUGCAACACAGACCCAAAGUAGUGGACUUUCCAAAUUCAUCAAAGCCUUCAGAAAAGGAAUUUGUAGUUUUCCCUGAGCCCCAGAAGACAUCUGGUGACCCGAAAAUGAAAACGUUAAGUCAAACCAAAAAAAGCAAGGGUCCAAUAGCCCUCUUGGUGGUAAGAGUGAUGGGCAAGAAUCACAUGAGGAAGAAAGGUUUUAUGAACGGUCUUCUAUGUCUUAGGGUAGUGAUAGUGGUGAUGACUUCUUCAUUGGGAAAGUCAUUCUUCUGAAAGAAGGAAAAUAGUUGCCAUUCUUCAGUUAAGGAACAAAAAGAAACCCCUAAAAGUGUUAUCCGAAAAAGAUAUACUUGAAAUCUAUCAUCAUAUAAGAAAGGACAAAAACAAGUCAAGUACAGAAGCCAGGGAGUUUCAAUCAGUGCUUUUCCAUUCUUCAUCUGGAUCUAAAAGCUCUAUAAGAAAUUGCAGAGAACAGCAGGCUCUGAAAGGCAGAACUCCAGGUUUGCAGCAAAAGGAACCACAGAUCAAGAAUCAGUUUCUUUAAAAAUACAAAACCCCAAUUGCAGCUGCCCCUUCUUCCUUCAUGGAAGCAAGCAAGAGGUGAAAAAAAUAGCAAUCUAAAAUUGUUGUUUUAGGGGAAAAAUUUACAUUCAAUGACUGAUUAGUAAACUUUUUCUGCGAACAUUUCCCUCUAAAAAUUCUUUUACUUUCUUUUUUUUUUAACUAGCCUAUUAUUUAAACAUGUAUUUGACUAAGUCUCAGGAGAGGUUGUAGAAAUGUUUGUUCUUGUCUUUGUUUUUCUUUCCUAAAUGUCUUCAAGUUAUGUUUACAUGAGCCUUUCACAAAUCAAGUGCAUACUCAAAUUGAUUUUUAAUAAUAUACUUCAGAAUCCUUCCUCUAUGAAAUAAUUUUGGGAUUAUAAGUGUCUCAUAUUUCUCAUUUAUGCUCAUCAUGAAGUGUAUUUCACUGGUUCAGCUCUGUUUUUGCCUUGAAAACAAAUGUCAUGAUAUAUUUAAAGUUACAAUAGAAAAUUAUGAGGAAACUGUAGCUAUUUAAAAUAGAUCACUUCUGUUAAACUUAUUCUUAUUAGCAAAACUAAGAAACUUUUAUUAUGG
rnacentral:lncRNA from 1 species